rnacentral:lncRNA from 1 species
UGUAUUCCCCACUCCCAUUUUUUUCUUUUUUUUCUGCUUUGGCCACCCGCGGCAGGUGGUGCAGCAGCCCCGCUCUGAGCAGGGAUCCGCGGAGCUCGCCAGCCCUAGACCGGAUCCCAGGGAGGAGGCGCGGCCGGAGCCAAAGCGCAGAGGCCUCCCUCCCUCGCGCGCCGGGUCGCACUUCAUUCCUGCACAGGCAGAAUCAUCUGGCUUCUGCAAAGCAGUCGCGCAGCGCUGUAGGGACAACCGGGGAGUCUCAACCUAAAUGACUCUCCCCUCGUUCCCCUGGAGGAGAAGAGAAGGGGCGACCUCACACAGGACCAGGGCCGGACGGGGCAGAAGGGAGGAAGAGUUCCCGUGCUGGCACAGAGGUGGCAGGGGGAGGCAGCAGUGCAGCUGGAGCCCAGGCCUGCUGUGAGAGGGCAGAGAGUGAGCCUGGGCUGUGCUCACAGGACAUUCCUCAAACUCAUUCCUAAAAGAGCUGCAAUUACACGGCGGCGUUUCCGAAAUGACCUGGCACAGUGCGCGGCGCCUCACAUAGGCCCAGGGCCGCGGCCAGCGCUGAGCAGACUGGUGACUAGAAGCAGCUCCCCGUCGGGCUGCACCCUCCCUCUGUCCCUCGCGGGGGCAUCUGCAGAAGGGCACUGAAUGCGCUCCCCACCCCAGGAAACCCAGCCCCUCCACUCUUCCAGGAAGGAGCGUCGUCAUGGCCACACAGGCAGGGAAUAACUGAUGCACAGAAUUCAGCCGGGCCGCACUCAGCACCGCGCUCUCCAGAUGCAAACGGACACACGCAAACCGGCCCCAGACUCGAGAAUUCGUCCGCAGAGAUGCAUCCACUACAACUCAAACAUCAUUCCACCUUAAAAACCCUGCUUAAUGACAUCAGCCCUGCUCUGCCGGUUUUGUGGCCUCUUUGACACAGGCCGAGAUCCUCCCUUCUCUGGCCUCCCCGCUGGCUGCCAGAUCUCACCAAGCCACAAGUUACAGACGCAGGGUGCAACUGAGGAACAUGAUCAGUGAAGGAAGAAAUAAGGAAGGGGGAGCUUUACGAGUCCAGCUAAAAACAAGAGGACAAACUAGCCAGACCCCUCGGAGAAGCAGGCUCCUCAUUUCACGAAAUCGGCCGUUUCCUUCAGCAGCUCCCCUGACCCCCGUUACAGUCUGUGACGAUGACGAGAGACACGCCUGCUGCCCUGCUCAGUGGGGAACACACCGGCCCCGCGUGCGUAUUUCGCUGUUUCUGACUUCACACAAAGAACUGUUGUUAUGUUUCCAUCACUUACACGCAGCAACCAGCAUUCAAUGUUGUGCUCUCAAAGUCUGUUUAAAGUUGGCUGCUUGCAAACUGGGCCAUAGUUUCUGACAAAAAUGAUGCUGGUAAGCUAACUCCCAGGCCGAGAAUGCCCAUGCUGUGGGCAAAAGAACAGUGCCCGCCCCUGGGUUGUCUGAGCAGAAGCUGGAUUGUGUGCCUGGAGCCCUGUCGCCCUCAGCCAGACCCGGGGUCGAGGCUGGGCCGGCUCUCCGGGAGCAUCAGGGAUCCGGUUGGAGAGAGGCUCAUACGGCGGUCCCAGGGGCCACCUCGAGGGGGUUGACCGGAGCUGGGUCUGGGAGCUGCAGCAGAGGGAAGGCGGCAUGAGGAGAGAGCCGCAGGUGGGGCGUGUGCACAAAGUGCAGGUGUGUGGAGGCCCUGUGGGUUUACAUUGCCCUGAGGCACCACUUCACGAUCACCCCAUUAUUUUUAAUAAAGGUUGUGGAGAGGCUGCCCUUGUUUGCUAAUUACGCCUUAUAUCUUUAAUCAUUGCAUUCCAACUUAACAAAGGGAUUUUAACAAAGGUCACCGUUUAUCAGAUGAAGCCAAAUGCCCACUUCCCUGCCUCCAAAACCAGAAUGACCUUCAGGUGUGCUUUCCACCAAGCAUGGACGAGAGACUUCCUUCGUGAAUCUCCUCCAGAAGCAAAACAUUACUGACUCAAAACGUUUGAGAGGCUGCUAUCAAGGGUGAACCUCGUAAGAUUGUUCUCUGAUAUCACUAAGAAAUUCUGCAUGUCAAACACAACAUUCACAAGAAAUUCCCACGGGCGGGCGCUGCAACUGCUGGACACCCCGCCCAGCAGCCUGAAAGCACGCUCACGCCUUAGGGGAGGCUGCUGGCUCCCAAAUGCAAACACAGUUUCAUAAAACCACACCAGUACCAUGCCUUACGCUCAUUCUCAAGUCAGACAUGGCUCCAUUUGGGGUUUUUCUUACUGUAACCAGGUUAUUGACUAUUCACGGGUUUUUAAAGGGUCUUUUUUUCUUCUUUUUUUUUUUUUGACACGGAGUCUCGC